UGUCAUAUGUCUCUUCUCCUUCUUUAUAACACAGAUAGUCCCAUAAAAACCCAAAUUUCCUCAUCCCUCAUCUGGGUUGCAUUUUCUCAUAACCCUAUCUAAACAUAAUUGAUGAACACAAACACUCCCCCACAACCAUCGCCACCUGCACUGCCACAACCACCCUACUUCACCACCUCAACAGCAAAUCGAAUCGAAACAAAGAUUUCGAUCUCACCUCUGUUCUUCAAAACCUAAAGGCUUACAAUGCCGCCACCGGAAACCCCACUUCGUCGGAA